rnacentral:lncRNA from 1 species
AUUUCCAAUUUAAUCUGAAUUCCAUUUAUAAUAAAAUCUAGCAUUCAGAGAGGGCGCUACAAACCUCAAAGAAUAAUUCGUUUCAAAUCGACAAUUCUAUAACUCUGUUGUUUUUUUUAUGUUAUUUAUAUGUUUUUAUUUAAAGAUUCUUAAAUCAUAUAAAAAUUAUAUAAAAUUAUAGAAUUAUAAAUUAAAAAAAUUUUUGUGAAUAUAAAAGAUUAUUAGUGUUGUCAUGAUUUAUAUUUUAUUACCUAAAAGUUUCAAGUUAAUUAAAUAAAGAUAAUUGUGAAUAAAAAUGCAAAAAAAUCAUCUAGAGAUGUCAAAAUUAAAGCGAAUUAAAAGCGCUGCUGACGGAAUUUCUUUGAAAUCUGCUCGCAUUUGCUGAUUGGUUACUUGGAAAAUGGAAGUGGAGAUCCAUAUACGCAUGACUGCGACCUUUCGCCAUAUUUAAUUUUUACCAAAUUUUGUGAAUCGAUGUAAAGAAAAUUAAAAGAAUAAAAAUCUUGUAUCAUAAAUGAUUAAUUAAAACAAUUUGGAAAUAGGUAUAAAAUGUUCUUGUUUUAGAAUCAGAAAAUAUUGUGAUAGAAGAAGUUAGGUGCAAGUUGCGUAACUUACAUGCAUCCAACUCCCCGCGGAUUUUUCCUCGCUCGCGCGCGAUUUUAUUCUGCGCAUGGAAAGCAAUUUUGCCCAAUCAUAAAUAGGGCUAUUGUGGGGGGAUGGUGUAUGCUGCUGGCGCAUUUCAUACAUCCGAGUGUAAUGGUAACCAGAUAGAGGCGUCGCGCGGGGCUAUCGGCCGGUUAGCAUCGUAAAUACUUACUUUCACUGAAAAAUUUUUUCUCUUUUUCCUCGUUCUUUUCUCUCAUUCCGUUUCAUAAUAUUUAUGUCAUUUCGUUUUUUCUAAUUUUCCAUUUAUUUUCAUUUAUCUUCUGUUUUUUCCUCUCUCUUUAUUUUUCUUUUUCGUUUUUUCUUUUCGUCCGCGGUAUUUUUUUUCUCGCGGCAUAUACGUAUGACGUACUACGUGCACGAAACGGAAGUAAUACGGCGUGAUGCACGACACGUCGCGCGCGCGUUCUCUCUCUUUUUCUUCUAUGUGUUUGUGUGCUGCAGUAAAUCGCGUUUGUGCGUGUAAGCAUACGACCAAGCGAGUGAUCUGUGACGUCAGUGGUCCGAUCGGUUAUCAUUUGUCAAGCAAAUGUACCUCUUGAAUCUUACCUCGAAUUUUCUCGUUUAUUGAUGCAAUUCUUAUAUUCAGCUACUUUUUUUCACCUACAUAUAUGCUUCCAUUCCUAACCGCAUCUCUAUCUCUUGCUCUCUUUUAUUCUCUUUCAUUUCGUUGCAUUCAUACUAACUAGACUUGUGCCGACCACACAAUCCGAUCCAUUUCCCUCUUACCCCCUUCUACUUUCCUGUGCUCCAUGAGUAUCAGUAACUAAUCCCCUCUCUACUUAACCCUCGCGAUUUUUCCCUCUCCCUGUAAUUUCUUGCGUCCACCCACUUUCCUCCUUUCCAUUCCUCCUCUUGCUCUCAUCACUGUGCCAGCUUCUAUCCUUUACUCAUUUUCUCUCACUCUUUUCGGUUGGUAGAGCCAACCAGUGGCGUAGCCAGCAAAAUUUUUCUCUUUAGGAUUUCUCUCUCUAGAA